rnacentral:rRNA from 1 species
UUACCUGUGUGACUGCGUACCUUUUGUAUAAUGGGUCAGCGACUUAUAUUCUGUAGCAAGGUUAACCGUAUAGGGGAGCCGUAGGGAAACCGAGUCUUAACCGGGCGUUAAGUUGCAGGGUAUAGACCCGAAACCCGGUGAUCUAGCCAUGGGCAGGUUGAAGGUUGGGUAACACUAACUGGAGGACCGAACCGACUAAUGUUGAAAAAUUAGCGGAUGACCUGUGGCUGGGGGUGAAAGGCCAAUCAAACCGGGAGAUAGCUGGUUCUCCCCGAAAGCUAUUUAGGUAGCGCCUCGUGAAUUCAUCUCCGGGGGUAGAGCACUGUUUCGGCUAGGGGGCCAUCCCGGCUUACCAACCCGAUGCAAACUGCGAAUACCGGAGAAUGUUAUCACGGGAGACACACGGCGGGUGCUAACGUCCGUCGUGAAGAGGGAAACAACCCAGACCGCCAGCUAAGGUCCCAAAGUCAUGGUUAAGUGGGAAACGAUGUGGGAAGGCCCAGACAGCCAGGAUGUUGGCUUAGAAGCAGCCAUCAUUUAAAGAAAGCGUAAUAGCUCACUGGUCGAGUCGGCCUGCGCGGAAGAUGUAACGGGGCUAAACCAUG